rnacentral:rRNA from 1 species
AUUCCAGCUCCAAUAGCGUAUAUUAAAGUUGUUGCAGUUAAAAAGCUCGUAGUUGGAUUUCUGGUGGGCGGACAAGAGCGGCAUGAAGUGUCAGCUUGCGUUCCCCGCCAUCCUUCUGUUAAACCGGUACGGUGUUUGUUCGCUGACCGGCGGCUCAGAUAUUUUACCUUGAGAAAAUUAGAGUGUUUCAGGCAGGCUCGGCCGGGAUACAUUAGCAUGGAAUAAUGGAAUAGGACUCCAGCCUCUUCUGUUGGUCUGAGGGGUUGAAGUAAUGAUUAAUAGGGAUAGUUGGGGGCAUUAGUACUUAACUGUCAGAGGUGAAAUUCUUGGAUUUGUUAAAGACUAACUUAUGCGAAAGCAUUUGCCAAGGAUGUUUUCAUUA